rnacentral:rRNA from 1 species
GAGAUCCCUGCCUCUAGUUGCUACUAUUACUCUCAGGAGUAGUGGGGCUAAUUAGAGGGACCGCCGCCGCUGAGGCGGAGGAAGGAGGGGGCUACGGCAGGUCAGUAUGCCCCGAAACCCUCGGGCCACACGCGGGCUGCAAUGGUAAGGACAAUGGGUUCCGAUCCCGAAAGGGGGAGGCAAUCCCCAAACCUUACCUCAGUUAUGAUUGAGGGCUGAAACUCGCCCUCAUGAAUAUGGAAUCCCUAGUAAUCGCGUGUCAUAAUCGCGCGGUGAAUAC